rnacentral:tRNA from 1 species
GGGGAUGUAGUUAAGAUGGUAGAGCACUUGCUUUGCAUGCGAGAGGUAUAGGGAUCGAUACCUUGCAUCUCCA